rnacentral:rRNA from 1 species
AGGUGUGAUCAUACCAGCACUAGUGCAUCGGAUUCCAUCGAAACUUUAAAGUUAAGCGCUUGGGCAAGAAUAGUUCUGAGAUGAUCUUGUCUCAAGACUU